UACGAAGGGGGCUAGCGUUGCUCGGAAUCAUUGGGCGUAAAGCGCGUGUAGGCGGAUCAUCAAGCCUGGGGUGAAAGGUUGGGGCUCAACCCCAAGAGUGCCCUGGGGACUGGUGAUCUGGAGGCAGGCAGAGGAGAGUGGAAUUCCUGGUGUAGCGGUGGAAUGCGUAGAUAUCUGGAGGAACACCAGUGGCGAAGGCGGCUUCCUGGCCUGUAACUGACGCUGAGACGCGAAAGCGUGGGGAGCGAACCGG
rnacentral:rRNA from 1 species